CUUGACCGAGCCGAGCAGCAGCGGACGGUCCUCCGGGCGGUCCUGGCCGUAGGUGGCGAGGAGCGCCUGGGCCUC
rnacentral:antisense_RNA from 1 species